UACGGGGGGAGCAAGCGUUGUUCGGAUUUACUGGGCGUAAAGGGCGCGUAGGCGGCCACCGCAAGUCGACUGUGAAAUCUCCGGGCUUAACUCGGAAAGGUCAGCCGAUACUGCGGGGCUAGAGUGCAGAAGGGGCAACUGGAAUUCUCGGUGUAGCGGUGAAAUGCGUAGAUAUCGAGAGGAACCCCUGCGGCGAAGGCGGGUUGCUGGGCUGACACUGACGCUGAUUGUGCGAAAGCUAGGGGAGCGAACGGG
rnacentral:rRNA from 1 species